rnacentral:rRNA from 1 species
GACGGGUGAGUAACACGUAGGUAACCUGCCCAUGUGCCCGGGAUAACUUCUGGAAACGGAUGCUAAAACCGGAUAGGUAGCAGACAAGCAUUUGACUGCUAUUAAAGUGGCUAAGGCCAUGAACAUGGAUGGACCUGCGGUGCAUUAGCUAGUUGGUGAGGUAACGGCCCACCAAGGCGACGAUGCAUAGCCGGCCUGAGAGGGCGGACGGCCACAUUGGGACUGAGACACGGCCCAAACUCCUACGGGAGGCAGCAGUAGGGAAUUUUCGUCAAUGGGGGGAACCCUGAACGAGCAAUGCCGCGUGAGUGAGGAAGGUCUUCGGAUCGUAAAGCUCUGUUGUAAGAGAAAAACGACAUUCAUAGGGAAUGAUGAGUGAGUGAUGGUAUCUUACCAGAAAGUCACGGCUAACUACGUGCCAGCAGCCGCGGUAAUACGAU